GACGAACGCUGGCGGCGUGCUUAACACAUGCAAGUCGAACGAUGAAGCCGGAGCUUGCUCCGGUGGAUUAGUGGCGAACGGGUGAGUAACACGCGAGCAAUCUGCCCUUGACUCUGGGAUAACUGCGGGAAACUGUAGCUAAUACCGGAUACGACACCUUGGGGCAUCCCAGGGUGUGGAAAGAAUUUCGGUCAAGGAUGAGCUCGCGGCCUAUCAGCUAGUUGGUGAGGUAAUGGCUCACCAAGGCGACGACGGGUAGCCGGCCUGAGAGGGUGACCGGCCACGCUGGAACUGGGACACGGUCCAGACUCCGACGGGAGGCAGCAGUGGGGAAGAUUGCACAAUGGGGGAAAGCCUGAUGCAGCUACGCCGCGUGAGGGAUGAAGGCCUUCGGGUUGUAAACCUCUUUUAGCAGGGAAGAAGCGAAAGUGACGGUACCUGCAGAAAAAGCACCGGCUAACUACGUGCCAGCCGCCGCCGUAA
rnacentral:rRNA from 1 species